rnacentral:lncRNA from 1 species
CAGGUGGCUUUGUUGACUGAUCAGUAAACCGAUGUCAUGGGACAAGUGUCUCCCUCAACAGGAAAUGCAGGUCCGGCGUCAUAGCUGAAGUUCAAGAACGCCGACAAUCCGCUAAGACAGGCUAACAGAAUAGCCUCUGGGUUCCAAGGCCGCGAAGGAGGCGGGUGGGAGAGGCCCCACUGCCGGGUCAGAGAAACGCUCCUCACCCCAGUCCAACAGCGGCACAGAAAAGGAAAGUGAAAUUGUCUGCAGGAGACAAAAGGAAAGCCCUGUGGACAGGAGCCCCAGGCCCUGCUACUUUCCCCACCAGCUCAGGGGAGAGACGACGUUGCUGGGAUGAACAGUUGGGAAAGGAGGAACAAGGACGAGGCUGACUUGACGUGCCCCGAGCAUCAUCUCCACAUUCACCGUGUUGUCACAUCUAGAUGAUACAAACGCAUCGCGACCGCAGACUUUCCCCUCGGUCAUCUGGUAAGGCAGGUAAAAUGGGGACUAUGAUCCUUCUUUGCAGGUGAGGAAUUGUAAACCUGCUCCAACCUGCCUCACCCUCAAACGUGUUUCCGGGUAAAUUAGCCACGGAGGAUACAAGACAUCUUUGCAAAUUGAUGACUUGGAAAGAAAGAAGAGAAACUCCAUUUUAAAAAACUAGUGUUCAUGCGGGUCCGGCAGGGACUCAGUCCUGUAGGUGCGUUAUCUCAAGCAAUCCUCCCCAAACCCCCUGAGCUGGGGGCUUCAAUGUGGAGAAGAGGCAGAGGACAGAGAAGAAAGAUGCUCUUGUGGGCAGUCAGAGGCAGAGAGGGGACUACAAGGGACUCUGUCUGAAGCUAAGGUCGCUACACCUACUGUUGGGAGAAGUUGAAAUAUGGGCGACUUCUGAUUUGCUUUUGGAUUCUGAGACCCAGCUACCGCCGUGUCAAGAGGUGGUGUGACAGCAGUCACAGCUGUGGCAUGUGGUGGAGAUAUGCCCUGGGCCAGCAGCUGUUGCUAGUCUCAGAACAAUGGCCUCGUUAUUCUGCUCCGAAGGUUUGCUCGCAGUGGAGACUGACUGCCAGCGAUCACACCUGUUCAUGAUUGACCUGGUCAUGGCUGAGCCCGGCUGGAGGAGCUGGACGGUGACAGGAACCCUAGGUCCCCCUAAUGCCACCUCGGAGGAAGCCCAGCCCGUGGUCUCUGUGGCUUGGGGAACAUGAGCUAACUUGGAAGUCACUGGGAGGUCCAGGUAGGACCAGGCACGGCACUCAGAUGCUCCCUCUGCCCGAGCCUGAGUCCAGAGUGAGGCUUCGUACAAGGAGGGUGGCCGGGAGAGAAGAGGAAGAGAAAGGCAGGAGGGAUUCCAGCGAAAGAGAAGGAAGGGCCCACCGGCCGCCAUGUAUGCCUGCCCUCUUGGACCAUCUGGAAAGAAUGAAGAUUGUGCUGCUUUCAUGCCCCAUGCAGCCAGGCACGCCAGGAACAGUGAGGAGAGAGGAAGGGCGUGCGUUUACGGACGGGCAGUCUUCUUUGAGGGACUUGCUGCCUGCUGAGAUGGGUCUCUUCAACUCUCCCUCCUCCUCUGGGACCCCAGGAGGUGAGUGAUUGUCAAAUCUCAGCCUCCUCUCUCAGAUCUGCGCCAAUCUGCCCUCUCCUCUUUUCUCCCUGCUGCUGUUCAGGCCGCCCCGCUCUCUCUCAUCAGGACCAUUGCUUUGGAUAAACUUGGCUCCUCGGCUCUCAUCACUCCAUCAUCCAGGUUCCAUUCUUGGCUCAGAUCUCGGCAAGUUACUUAAAUUCCAGCUUAUGCCUCAGUUUCCUCUUUGGGUGGUUCUGAGGCUUGAGUGAGGUAGUAUGUGCCAAGGUCUUCGAGCAGAGCCCCGCACACAGCAAGUGCCAAAUGCCUGUCGGCCGUUUUUAGGAUUGCCGUUGUUUUCCCUGACAGACCGGAGCUAGCCAGCUGUUUACAAAUGUAUCUAAUCUUGUCACCUUCUGCUUUUAAAUCCAUAAAGGAGAAUUGUUCUUCAAAUGGUGCUGCAAAAGGACCAGGUUAGAUCUGCCCUGAUAACCUACACCGAAAAUGUCUGUGGAUGUGAGAGAGAGGUCAGAAUCAAAAUGACUCCAAAAAACAUGGAGAGAAAAAUAUUUAAUUGAUCUCAGCUCUGGGAAGGAAUUACUGGCAUCAAAUUAACAGAGGGAACUGUUGACGAAAAUAAUCCAUAACCAAUCUAUAAAUGAAAAUUUGGAAUCAUAAACGAAGAUAGCAGUACGUCCACAUAAAAUAAAAAUCUUCUGGAAUAAAAAUAACGCAAAGCAAAAAUAAAUGGUAAAUGUUGCAAAAACAUCAGCAUAAAUAUGGCGGGCAAAGGUUGGAACUCCUUGAUGGAUGGAAGAGCUCUUGUUAACUAAUAGGAAAAAUACAUGCCACUGGAAAACAGUCAAAGAGCAUGCAAGGACGGUUUGAACAUUAAACGUUAAGGUCGAAGAACUCAGAGCAACAAGGGUGAUGUUUACACGUUCCAGAGGCUGAGUUGCAUGAUUUGCAUAUAAUACUUCAUUCAUUCUUCACAAGGGCUCCACGAGGUGGGCUCCAGCCCAACUCUCUGUUUGCUGAUGGGCACAGAACCUCAGAGGGGUCACAGAGUUGUCCCCAAGGUGGCAGGUUCUAGUUGACAGAGCCAAGAUUUGAGCCCACCUUGGAUUCUGAAGACUCAACCUACUGCGGUAUAAAUAAACUUUAAAAAAUAAGCUGUCGAUGAAAAUAAUCCAUAUCCAAUCUAUAAAUGAAAAUUUGGGUGAGUUUAUUCUGAGCUUAAAGCUGAGGAUUAUAACCCGGGAGAGUCUUUCCACAAAGGAACAGAGCACUCCAAAGAAGUGGGGGUAUAAGGGUGGUUAUAUACCCUCAAAGAGGAUGUUUCACAUAGGAUUGAAAUGUCCCUCCCACAAUAGUCGCGAGACUGCUCUGUGGGCACAGCGAUUGAUGGAAAUAGCAGGUAGGUCUGCUGUCUCGGUGAACACAGCAGGGUGGCAGUCUGUUGUCUCCAGCUGGGUGGUCACAGGUGAGCUGGGAGGUGAGUGCAGCAAUCAGUUCCUAGCCUAAGGAAAAAUGCUUAUCCCUAAGGAAAUGCUAAUGUGGGGGAAAGUUGCACCUUUGUCUCAAGGGCCUUUGUUCUGGCCAUAGGAAAUGUCUAAGCAGAUAUGCAAUGCGUGCUCAAUAGCCACAGUCAGGCCCUUUUGAAAAAAAAAAAGUCAGGCCGAAUUAGGUUUAUACCAAAUGGCUUCCUCAUAUACUCCAAUAUAUCCUAUUGCUUGCCAUUUUUAUUUGUCAAAGCUAAUUUUUAAAAACUCAAUCUCACUAACAGUCGAAGAAAUCAAAUCAAAACAAUGAAGAAGCAGAAGCAGCCUCUUCAGCUGUCAGACCAGCGUACUCUUUGAAUGAUGAUGCUCCAUUUCAGUGAAGUUGGGGGUGGGGCAGGCACGCCUGCACUCUGGUCCUCGAGAGCGAAUUGUACAACCUGUUAGAAAGCAAUUUUGAAACGUGUAGGAAGAGCCUCAAAAAAUGUUCUUACUCUUUGCCCUAGAGAUUUCACUGCUAGAAAUGCACGAUAAGGAAGUGGAGAUAUGAUCAAAGAUUGUGAGCGAGAAGGCUUAUUAUAAUAUUAUUUAAAUACAAAUAAGGUUGCAAACAACCUAAAUAUUCUCAAACCAAAGAUGGAUGAAAUAAAUCAUGGUGCUUCCAUAGAGACAUAUUCCAUAGAGGACCCAUGAAAAAGCACAGUUUGGAAAAACUUGAAAAAUGCCAGCAAAAUCUUAGAAGCAGACAGACGGUGCCGAGAUUCAGGAAGGAAGACAUUUACACUGGGUUUUGAGGAAUAAGGGGGAAUUUCCCAAGCAAAGGUGGAGGUAAGAACGCUGCAGACAGAAUUCAAGAAAAAGAAGCCCAUAGAAGCCAUUUCUUCCUCCUCCCUUUUUCCUGCUAAGUUAGGUAUAGAAGACUUUAACUUUAACUAUUGAAUGACCCAGCUACUUCUUUUGUUGGCUCCCAUAUGCAUACAAAAUAAAACUUUUUCUCCUGUUAAUGGCUUUUAUCAGUUUAAUUUGCACACCCCUGUAACAGAACAUAAUGGGGUAGAGGAAAGUUUUUCCCUCCCCUGCAUAGAUAAUGGCCAGACCAUAUACGACAAGAGAAUGACCUACAACCUCUGCAGCCCAGAAUGCUCAGGACUUGGUCAGUGAGUGCCAGCUUCCCUACUUUUUAUCUUUGCUUCUAGUUUAGGAGCAAUCAGAGAAAGUCAGAUAUGCUUGCCUCACCAAGCACAUAGGACGCCCCACUUCUAGUGAGCAUGCUCCAGCUUCCCCACGACGACAGCCACCCAGGGCACAGCUGAGCCUCCCUUUUGUCCACUCUGAAGCUUUCCCAGUCUCUUGCCUGCCUUUGAGUCUCUGCCAGACUCAAGUGUGAACCCCUUGUCCAGCCAGCUCUGAACAGACAGCCUUUGCCUGUUCUCACUGGCUGGUCUUCAUUUAUUCCCACAAUGGGGAUCACGCAUGUCAGGCUUCACAUGUCAGGCUCCUGACAGCAACCGCUGUCCUGCUUUGGCGCCAAGACUUUUGGAAGGUGCCUCUUCUGCCCCAUGCACACGUCUGACAAACUGGAGGAGCUUUGGCAGAUAGAACGAUUAUUGAGGAUGGUAUUUCCAUGAGUGGCUGCUCAACAGAGAGACCGUGAGAGCGAGAACGAGAAGGCUCUGCACUUGGGAGCAGAAAGAAGCCAGCAAAAGGGCAGCUUUGACACACUCAGGCUCUGGAUUCAGAGCUGGGCUCCAAUCCCAGCCGUGCCAAUCUAUAACCCUCGCCAGGCACUUCGCUCGUCUCUAAAACGGGCCUUGUAUGAGUGCCCGCCUCCCAGGGUCCACGUGGACCUGGAGGAGAACUGGGGCCAGGGCUGGGCCCAGCCCCAAGGCGGGCCGAGUAAAGGCAUGCAGUUGUGCUGUUGCAGGUCCGGCAGGUGGUCCCUCAUCCAUUGUCCCCCCCAGACAAGGCUGUGGCUCCAGGCUAGGGCCAAGUUUGGGAAACACAUUUCGACAGCGCCAUCCUGAGGCUAAGUGGGUGCUGCUGAGCAGCGAGGAUCAACAGCGCUGAUCUGCCCACAUCGUGGAAGGAAGGAAGCUGCCCGCUCGGCCCGAGGGAUGAGAGAUGACGUAAGGGACACGAAGUGGAGAAUGUCCCUGGAAAGCUCAGGACGUGCUGGGAGGGGCUGCGGUGGAAGAUCCCUGAGCAAGAGGCACGCUCCUGCUGGCUUCGUGGCUUUCUUGGGACGGCCGAGGUUUAGACACACCUGUGCCCGUGGCCUGGCCGGACGCAAACCUCUGGACCUCAGCCUCGCCUUCCGUGAGAGGAGGGGAUAACCUGUGCUCUGCCUCCCUCAGAUGAGCUGGUGGGUGUGGAGCGAUGGAAAACCGUGGUGUGCAAAUGGCAGGCGGAUGUAAGAUUCUUGUUGAAGCCCAGGCCGGUCCCUCCGCUCUGCGGAGGUGUGGGCGGGGCGUCUCAGAGGCCGAGGGGUGCAGAGGCUUCCCCUGCCCGGUUUUGAGGGGCUCGCAUAGACUCUGCCUCCCUCUUGUAGUCCCCUUGCUUUCAGCAGAACUCCCUUUGGGAGAGGCAUCUGGUUGGCAUCGAGUAGUCCCCCUCCAUCUGUUAUCUGAAUUUUUAUGCUGCCGGAAGCCCCUGGGCAGGGACUGCCAACACUGUAUUACAGGUGAGGAUGCUCAGGUGUGAGGGGUUUCCUUACCUCGUCUAUAACUUCGUUGUCAGUGAGGGGGAAACUGGCUUCAAACCUGGAGCCAGAGCGUUCCACCGUCUCCCGUCAGCCCACACCUGCCCGUGGAUGAAACUGUAUCUCUGGGUCCCCACUGACCUCAGAUGUUCACAGUAUGAACGCUGCGUUCGCUUGCUGCUGCAACAAAAUACCACAAAGGUAGCAGCUUAAAAUAGUGCUCAUUCCUUCUCUUACAGCUCUGGAGGUCAGAAGUCCAAAACGAGCCGCAAAGGGGCUAAAAUCAAGGUGUUGGCAGGAAGCUCCAGGGGAGAAUCCUCGCCUCCUCCAGCUUCUAGAGGCUCAUGGCUGCCUCCUUCCAGUCUCUGCUUCUGCUGUCACAUUGCCGUCUUCUAACUGUGACCCUCCCGCCUCCCUCUUAGGACAACCCUUGUGAUUCCAUUGGGCCCAUCUGGAGAAUCCAGGAAAUUCCCAUCUCCAGAUCCCUGAUUUCAUCCCAGUUGUGAAGUCCCUGUUGCCAGGACAGUUCCAGAGCCUUGAAGGACAGGCAACAAGAAGGGCCACCACCCUUUGAUGGACGCGGAUGUUGCCUAACGACUCAAGCCAGCAGUCAGGGGGGCAUGAUUCCCUGUUUUCAUCGUCUGUCUCCAGUGGACCAGUUUUUCAAUCAAUCACUGGCAAGUACUGGAUGCCUCUGAAGACAGCACAGGGGUGAGGGGGCGACAAGAGGUGUCCUCCCCAUCCCACCUCUGGCCACUAAGAGGAAAAACAGAGCCUAACGUCACCCUCAGAAGGUCGAACUCCAAAACCCACACCUGUCCCAGCAGAGGUCAGGCUCCCUCACCCUGGACAGCUCCCGCCUUCUCGGGCAGCCAGGACGUGCCAGACCUGAGGUGUUAGCACAUCCAGACAAUGGUCGUUCCAGUCUGGAGGCAGGUCUGGAUGCCUCCGCAGGAGAUGGUAAGGGAAAGGAAUGCUCCAGAACAGAUGCAAGAAGCACUGGCUGGGGAGGGGACUGGGAGCCGGUGGGAGGAGCCCUCUGUUCCAAAAAUGCAUAGCCUGGCCGCCCCUUGCUCUCUCUCCCUGGUGUGGGCUCACCAGCUCCCUUCGAGGAACUUGCCUGUCUGCAGGGAUGACGGGGUGUGGGUCCCUGUCUGGGCUGCCUGACGUAUGUUUUCCUUGUCCUGAGAAGCAGAUGCUGGUUUGUGCCCCAGCGUCUUGUGGGUGCAUCUGUGCUGGAUCCUCUUAAUCUUCUGAGUCAGAGGUGAGACCCAUUUUGCAGACAAGGAAUCAGAGACUCCGAGGGGCGAACUCACUUGCCCCAGCUCGUUGGCAGAGCUGGACCUCGGGCCCAGGUAGUCAGAGCCCGUCUCGCUAGCAGUGGGGGUGAGCUGCCUGGGUGGACAAGGCUCGAGUUUCUAAGCUGGCCCACCUGCUUGAGAACAUGGCACGUGGUGGAGGUUCCUGCUCUCCGAGCUUGGAGCCAGGCAGGGGUCCAGACAUGCGAGCAGGUCAUUUUGUAAACUGGGGUCAGGGACUGGUCAGAAAGUGCUGCAGACACAGCAGGGUGGUAGCCGAGCCCCCAGAAGAAGCUGCUGGUGCUGGGGAGCUGGUGCUGGGAGUGCCGGCUGGACAGGUGCACAAGGGCCUUCUGGCCGAGGGAACGGCAGGUGUCAAGGCUCGGAGGUGUGCCAUGCCAGCUGAGAGGUGGGGCCAGAGUGGUGUGGGAUGAGGUGGGAAGGCAGGAGCCUGGCUUACGAGGAGCCCGGGGGCCACCCGGUGAGCAUCGAACAAUGACCAGGGUGGCUACGGGAUCUCAUCGGUGUUCCAGAGGGUUCUCCAGCUGUCUGGUGGAGGUUUUGAGGAGAAAGAGAGGAUGAAGAGAGAGCGAUGUCCAGGAAAGUUCUCAGUCCCCGGCUUGUGCUGUCAUAGCUGGAGAGAAACACCAACCGCGUAAGAAGGGUCUCUGUUUCUCUGGGAUCACAAGCAAGGGAAGUGGCUGCAGGUGUGGCUGUGGGACUGCCCAGGCGACAUGGGAAAGGAACAGGGGUGGGACCCUUGACUCUUCUGGAAGCAGAGCAACUGCGCGCCGUAGUGCCUUCCCACGGCUGCCCUGGGUUCCCUCGAAAUACCUGCAUGGGGGACCCUCACUUCUCCCUCCUUUCAGCUCCCAGCAUCUGUUCUGCGCCUGCCCGGGGAACUGGCUCUUCCGGUUCUGUAAGCCCGGGAGCUGGGAGUCUAAAUGUGAUCUUGCGAUCUUCUCACCUGGGGAGUCACGGCGGCCCCACAGGAGGUCCCCCAACAGGACGAGGGUCCCCCUCACUCCAGCUGGGCUGGAGGGGGCGGAAGGGAGGGAAGGAAGCUCAGGGCAGAGGGAGGGUUUCCCUCCCACCCUCUCUUCCCCACAUACUUCCUUAUGUCUUAAAUAAUGCUUAGAUGGCCAUGCCCUGAGGGGUAAGUGUUCUCUUUCUCUCAGUUUUGCAGCUGAGGAAACUGAGGCAGAGAGAGGUGGAGGAGCUUGUCCCUCUGUGGACCCGGUGAGCAGGAGAGUCGUUCUGCAAAGCCAGACCGUCUGCACAAGAAACACAUUUAUCCACCACGCCAAUAGUUCUCAGAGUGGGGUCCGCGGCCAGCAGCAUCAGCAGCCCCUGGAACUUGGGAGGAAGGCAAGCUCUCUGGCCCCACCCAGGACCUACAGCAAUGUGGUUUCUCCUGGGGAUUCUGAUCCUUGCUCAGGGGUUUCUUUGCGGAGCACCGAUGCACUGCACGAGGCGUUGUAGGAGAGCGUGCUAAGGACGUGUGUGACUGUGACCAAACCUGAAGCCACCGCCUGCCCUCUCAGAGCCCACGAGGAAGAGCCGUGGACUCACAGCCAGCGCAUCUUGGGUCUGUGGGCAGUUUCAGAGCCUUCUUUGUGGAUACGGAGGCACGGCAUGAAGCCUGAGGCUGCUGGACGUGGGGGGCCUGGAAGGCUGUCAUCAUUUGCAAAACAUCAGGGAGCUGCCACUUAAAACCUGGGGACUCAAUCCACGGGACAGACGUGGACGGCUCUCCUGGCGGACCAGUCGUGUCUGUAAAUACUGCUAUUUACGUUUUAUUCGGGGACCUGUUCGUAAAAUUUCAAGUCAAAUAGGAGAGGAGCAAUGGCAGCUGUGUCCACCUUGAGUCUCUGCUCCAGCAUUUUGCCUAGUGGAUGAUUUUAAGAUCAAAACAGAACUAUCUGGUGCCCCAAAAUCCUGAUGCACAAGCUCCAGGCUGGGGAGCUGCCGCGGAGCCUGGAACGUGGUGCCCGGGUGGUGACAAGCUUCUCUUGACCCUCACACCUCCAGGUUGUUUCUACCCCACCCCCCACAUACUUAGACAUGGUUGUGGGAGACCCAAAGGGAAGUGUGGACCCUCAGCUACCAAAAAAAAUUAAAAAAGAAAGAAAAGCAUUGUUUGUGCAAAGAGCAGGGAGAACCUAAAAAAAA